CACCCGUCAUAUUGCAGACAUGCAUGUAGAUGAAGUAGCAAUUCCAACAUUUCUCGUUUCUGAAUGAAUUUUAUUUUCCAUUUCUUAUAUAAAGAUUAGAUCUCCCUCUACCCUAAUUUAUUAAACCCUAGCUCGAUCCGCAAUUGCUACCGCUAUCGGAGCUACCCUCUUGUUCUAUCUCUUUCAGGGGAGGAAAAGAUUGAGUGAUCUAUAAAAAUGCAGCACAUUCCGGCGACGAUCGAGGAACAGUUGUUCUUGAAAGCGAUUAGGGAAGAAAGCUCGUGGGAGAAUUUGCCCAAACGGCUUCAGGCCACUCUUAAUUCUAGAGAAGAAUGGCACCGAAGGAUUAUUGACCAUUGUAUCAAGAAAAGGCUCCAAUGGAACACUUGUUUUGCUCGCAAAGUUUGCAAAGAAAGUGAAUAUUAUGAAGAGAUGAUGCGUUACUUGCGAAAGAACCUAGCGUUAUUCCCUUAUCACCUUGCGGAGUAUGUUUGCCGUGUGAUGAGGGUGUCUCCUUUCCGAUAUUACUGUGAUAUGAUAUUUGAGGUUAUGAAAAAUGAGCAACCUUAUGACAGCAUCCCAAAUUUCAGUGCCGCUGAUGCCUUGAGACUUACGGGAAUUGGGAGAAAUGAAUUUAUUGAUAUCAUGAACAAGUGCAGGUCUAAGAAAAUUAUGUGGAAGCUGAACAAGUCGAUUGCAAAAGAGUUGUUACCUACCCAACCAGUGGACUUCCCAAUUGAACCUUGGUGGGGAGUUUGUCUUGUUAACUUUACCCUAGAAGAGUUCAAGAAACUUUCAGAAGAAGAAAUGGCAACAAUAGAUAAAAUCUGCAAGGAAGAAGCUAAUGCUUUUAUCCUGUUUGAUCCUGAUGUUAUAAAAGGUCUUUAUCGACGGGGAUUGGUCUAUUUUGAUGUCCCUGUCUAUCCGGAUGACCGGUUUAAAGUUUCUAGGCUUGAAGGGUUCGUUUCAAACAAGGAGCAGUCUUAUGAGGAUCCUAUUGAGGAGUUGCUAUAUGCGGUUUUUGUUGUUUCAAGUGAGAAUGCAACUGUUGCUGAGCUGGCAUCAACGUUACAAGCAGAUCUUAAUCAACUUCAGGCUGCUGCAUCUUUUGUUUGUCGCUUGGGAUGGGCAGUAAAAGUAAUUGACCCGGCAUCUGUGCUUCAAGAAAACACAGGUGUACCUCCCCAUGGUGUCAGUCUUGCAGAUGAAGAAGAUGCUUCUCACCCUAGUUCAACCUCAGCAAACAUGUCCACUGAUAGUGAGAAUGCUCAACAAGGAGAUUUAUGGGAGACAGAAAACUAUGGGCCCCAUUCUAGUGAUGCUCGGGUUGCUUUUGUUGUCGAUGCUAAUAUAACAUCUUAUCUUAUGAUGGGCUCCGUUUCACCAGGAUUGAAAUCUCAUGCCGUGACAUUAUAUGAAGCAGGGAAAUUAGGUCAUGCUAGCAUUGCAGAUCUUUGCAAAGACCUGAGCACAUUAGAGGGAACAAAAUUUGAGGGAGAGUUGCAGGAAUUUGCAAAUCAUGCAUUUAGUCUCCGCUGUGUCUUGGAAUGUCUACUAUCUGGUGGAGUUGCCAAUGACACUAAAACAGUGGAAAUUGCUGAUAGAAUGGGAGUGUCAGCUUCUGUCCAUGAUGAGUCCACUCUGGUAGCUGACAAUUCAUUGACUGAUGUAGCAGAACAAUCUACUAAUGAAACUGGAGAAAACAUUAAUGAUACCAAUAAUUUAGAAAUAUGUCGGGAAGGUUCUGUUGGGGAUGACUCUGUACCUGAAACCAUUGGUGAUGAUAGAUCUGCUACCCUAUCAAAAGAUGGUAACCUCGAGAGUGAGGUUUCCAAGUCAGAUCUGAUUGUCCAGAAUGAUGAUAAACUGAUACAGAUGGAAGGGCCUGAAAUAGGAAAAGGAACUUCAAGGAGGAAAAAGAAAUAUCGAGUGGAUAUCCUUCGCUGUGAAAGCUUGGCUGCGCUGCCAAAGACAACCUUAGAUCGGUUAUUUCUUCGCGACUAUGAUAUUGUUGUGUCUAUGGUUCCUCUUCCUUAUUCAUCUGUUCUUCCUGGACCAACCGGGCCCAUUAAUUUUGGUCCUCCCUCUCACUCAUCAAUGACACCAUGGAUGAAAUUGGUGCUAUAUUCAACAGUGGCUAGUGGGCCUUUAUCAGUUGUUCUGAUGAAAGGACAAUGUCUACGCAUGUUGCCUGCACCAUUAGCUGGUUGUGAGAAAGCCCUUUUAUGGUCUUGGGAUGGUUCGACAAUUGGAGGCUUAGGUGGAAAGUUUGAAGGAAAUUUAGUUAAGGGAAGUGUACUUUUACACUGUUUAAAUUCUCUUCUCAAAUGCUCUGCUGUUAUAGUGCAGCCCUUCAGCAGAUAUGACCUAGAUGGUUCUGGCAAAGUUGUUACACUGGACAUACCCUUACCCCUUAAGAACUCUGAUGGCUCAGUUGCUCUUGUAGGGGAUGAGCUGGGACUAUGUGCGGAGGAAUGUUCAAAAUUGAAUGAUUUGUUAACUGAUUUGGCUCACAAGAUAGAGUUAUGGACGGUUGGUUACAUUCGCUUAUUAAAGCUUUUUAAAGAAAGAGAAUCGGAUCAUUUUGCCCCCAAUGAGGAGAAGUAUGAAUGGGUUCCAUUGAGUAUUGAAUUCGGGAUGCCUCUUUUCAGCCCUAAAUUAUGCAAUAAUAUUUGUGAAAGGAUUGUCACAUCUCGGUUACUUCAAGCAGAUUCACUUACUGAGCAGCAUGAUUCAAUGCAAAGCAUACGUAAAAGGUUACGUGAUGUUUGUGCAGAGUAUCAAGCAACAGGUCCUGCAGCAAAACUUCUUUACCAAAAGGAGCACCAAAAGGAUCAUUCAAAGGAGUUAUCGAAGCAUCUAAUGAACUAUGCUAGUGGAAGAUGGAAUCCACUGCUAGACCCUUCUUCUCCCAUUUCUGGAGCAUCUAGUGAGCAUCAAAGAUUAAAACUUGCCAGCCGGCAGCGUUGUCGGACUGAAGUUUUGAGCUUCGAUGGUAGCAUUCUUAGAUCAUAUGCCCUAACUCCUGUAUACGAAGCUGCCACAAGACCAAUUGAUGAUUCCACCCCAGAAACUGCAACAAAAGUUGAUCCCGAUGAAACUGACAGCAAAGAAAUAAUCCUUCCUGGUGUUAAUCUUCUUUUUGAUGGUGCUGAGUUGCAUCCCUUUGAUAUUGGUGCUUGCCUGCAGGCUCGCCAACCAAUUUCCUUAAUAGCAGAGGCAGCAUCAGCCUCUACAUCUUUUGCAAUUAAAUAGGUCUUAUAGAAUCUUGUAUGAGAAGUGUAGAUAGAAUAUUUGUCCGGAGACUGACCAAUGGAAGUUAUUGUGUACUUCAUACUACACUAUUCUGGUUAUCUGCUCCAUCUUUGAAGUCAUUCUAUGGAUGCGAGUGAGCGAUUACAUCAAAGAUGCUCUAUAUUGCUUGAAGGCUGCUUCUGGAUUGUUGCGGGUUAGCAUUUCUUCUGAAAGAAUAGGGGAUACUUGUUUGUGACAAGUAGAUUUGAUUACUGAAAUGUAACCCUUCUCUUGGUGCUUAUUGGUUGCAAACAAAGAUAGAAAGUCAGUUUUGCUCAUGAUACAUAUGUGGAAAAACGAGACAUUUUUGGUUUACUGUAUACAGUUCCAGCUUUCUGCUUAAGUUGCAUAGAUUUUUAUUUGAAAUUUUCAUGCUAGCUCUUGUAUGUGGAAGAGAAACCCACUGCAUUGUGGGAAGAGAUGAGUUACAUCAAACAUAUUCAGGGAAAUCGGGUA